UCAUAGCAUCAUGACCCGGCAUCGGGAUAUGAUUAAAGUCACAACGGUGGAAGAUGAGCAUGCGUCCCAUUAGCUAGUUGGUAAGGUAACGGCUUACCAAGGCUACGAUGGGUAGGGGUCCUGAGAGGGAGAUCCCCCACACUGGUACUGAGACACGGACCAGACUCCUACGGGAGGCAGCAGUGAGGAAUAUUGGUCAAUGGGCGCAAGCCUGAACCAGCCAUGCCGCGUGCAGGAUGACGGUCCUAUGGAUUGUAAACUGCUUUUGUACGGGAAGAAACCCUCCUACGUGUAGGAGCUUGACGGUACCGUAAGAAUAAGGAUCGGCUAACUCCGUGCCAGCAGCCGCGGUAAUACGGAGGAUCCAAGCGUUAUCCGGAAUCAUUGGGUUUAAAGGGUCUGUAGGCGGUCUUGUAAGUCAGUGGUGAAAGCCCAUCGCUCAACGGUGGAACGGCCAUUGAUACUGCUGGACUUGAAUUAUUGGGAAGCAACUAGAAUAUGUAGUGUAGCGGUGAAAUGCUUAGAGAUUACAUGGAAUACCAAUUGCGAAGGCAGGUUGCUACCAAUGGAUUGACGCUGAUGGACGAAAGCGUGGGUAGCGAACAGGAUUAGAUACCCUGGUAGUCCACGCCGUAAACGAUGGAUACUAGCUGUUGGGCGCAAGUUCAGUGGCUAAGCGAAAGUGAUAAGUAUCCCACCUGGGGAGUACGAACGCAAGUUUGAAACUCAAAGGAAUUGACGGGGGCCCGCACAAGCGGUGGAGCAUGUGGUUUAAUUCGAUGAUACGCGA
rnacentral:rRNA from 1 species